UUGAUUUGACACUAUGUUAUUAAGUUUUAACAAUUAUAUCCAUAAUUUUUAAUUAUAAACAUCGAAAAAUUGUAACGUUGAUGUUGGGCAUAGCUGUUUGUAGGAAGUGUACAAAUUCAAACGCUGUUGAAUUCCAAUAACAUAAUAAACCUACAAUAUUAUAGGUUAGGAUCAAAUAGAUAGUUUCGUUCAACGACGGCGCUCCAUACAAAUAUUGCUAUCAUGUGAGACAGCAUCGCACAAGAUGUAAGAUGUAAACGCGAUGUAAGAUGUAAAGCCACCAUCGCCGUUAUAGAAAGAGACACUGUGCGCACACGAGCUGCAAAAGCCAGUAUGUUUACAUACAUAUGUAUGUAUCUGCAAAGAGACGUUAAAACGUCCUGCCGCUCUGUUAAACGAAUCUACGUCCAGCAUAGCGUGUCAGGCAGAAGUUUCUGCCCGGAAGAAUAACUUUCCUAAACUGUAUAAACUUUAGUAAGCCGUGUGCUCACAAGGAAAUAUGGUAGUGGUAACCACCUUAUUAAAGACGAAAACGGAUGCAAGUGAAAUUCGCCUAAAAAUAAACGUGACAAAACUGAAUUUGUAUCAUUUCACCAUCACUGGGGAAGAGAUUAAGCGAAAAGCGCAAUUUUGCUACCUUGGUAGUAAAAUUACUCCAACAGGUGUUGAUCUUAGGAAAGCAAACUCCAACUGAAAUAUUUUAACAACUUUGUCAAAUAACUGAAAUGCCUUUAAUAUUUUUGUUUUAGUCCUACACUCCAAAAGGAAUUAAAGGACAUUGUUGACCAUAUAUGUACAUAUAUAUAUUUGUAUAUAUAUUAACAAACAAAUAAGUCGAACAUUUGAAAAUUAAAGAAUUAUGACUUUGUUUUAUACGAACUUCGCAGUGAUAAUAUGAAUAAGCUGAUCUGGUCUUCAAACAAGAUUUUACUAUAGGGAAGAAUCUAUCGGCUCGAGCGACAACUCGGUUGGUGACAUUAUCAUCGCUGAGGGCGAAGGAGUGCAAACAGGUGAUAGCAGUGGAAAUGCAGAAACAAAUGUUGAACACGCAGCCGUUUCCACCGAAAUUUCCAUCGGUUCGGAGUUCGUAGAACCUUUUUAAAAAUGUAUAUAUAUGUAUAUGUAAAUAUAAAUAAUAUAUUCAAUAAAAAA